UACGGAGGGUGUAAGCGUUAUCCGGAUUCACUGGGUUUAAAGGGUGCGUAGGUGGGAAUGUAAGUCAGUGGUGAAAUCUCCGUGCUUAACAUGGAAACUGCCAUUGAUACUAUGUUUCUUGAAUCUUCCGGAGGUCAGCGGAAUAUGUCAUGUAGCGGUGAAAUGCUUAGAUAUGACAUAGAACACCAAUUGCGAAGGCAGCUGACUACAGGGGCAUUGACACUGAGGCACGAAAGCGUGGGGAUCAAACAGG
rnacentral:rRNA from 1 species